CAGUAUGGUGUACCUUCUCGAGUUCGAUCUGACAAGGGGGGUGAAAAUGUGAUGAUUGCUCAGUUUAUGGUCCAAACUAAUGGAGUGAACAGGAAUUCUCAUAUGACUGGAAGAAGUGUGCAUAACCAGAGAAUAGAGCGCCUUUGGAGAGAUGUUUAUGAGAAUGUGCUCGAUCUGUACUACACAGUCUUCAUGCAAAUGGAAGCCGAGGGAAUUCUAAAUCCAGAUGAUGAGAUUGAGUUGUAUUCACUACACAGAUGCUUCAUGCCACCGAUUCAACAUGGCCUUCACUGCUUCAAGGUGGCAUGGAAUAACCAUGGUCUACGAACUUCGAGCCACUAUACACCUUUGCAGUUGUGGCUACUAAAUGAGAAGGAAGGACGUGACUUUUCGGAGGUACUCUCCCAUUUUGUACUAGCUUAUGUACACUCACCAUAUUCUUUGUGUUUAGGUUGGUGAUGACUAUGGUGUAGACUGGGAAGGUCCACAUACCCCAUCCACUUCUAACGUCAGUAUUCCUGAGGUCCAACUUAUGCGCCCAUUAAACGCAGAAGACCUUGCGGCAUUGCCAAGCACCGAUGUUCCUCUCACACAGACGCUGGGAGUUUAUAUUGAAACUGUUCAGGCAAUGACAGCUUUGUUGCUCCCAUAAUCUUGACUCAGUCUUAAUCUUUAGAAAUUUUGCCGUUGUGAAUUUCAUUGUAAAAGGUGCACCGGUGGCAAUUCUGGAUGAUCGACAAAUGACAGUCUUUAAGAAAAGAAAAAUAAUUAUCUGCUGAUUAACUGUCUUAAUAAAUGGCUUCCCUCCCCGGUUUAUUAUUGUUUCUCAACUGUUCCUGCUUUGCUAGAGCAGCGGUGCAAUACGUCAGUGAUCUUGGAAGGUUUUGAGUCGAUCUCCGCAUUAGGUGACAAACUGAACGACGCAAGGACGCUGAGACCACGUCCUCCUCUGACUCCUUAUCAAAACGUUCAAAACUUUAUUAAAGAACAACAACAACAAAAAAAAUCAAGUUCAAAUUAAUGACACAACAAAAAUAAUAAUCUCAGUAAUUAAUGUUUCGGUUCCAUUACCAACAUAACCAGCAGUGCAGGAGUUUUAAAUUAACUAAUCAACCACCGCUGUGUUCAGGGAGGCUUAUUAGUAAUCGCAAAAUAAGCCUGAAAAACUGAUAUCGUGACGGGCUGAAUGUUACGUUUUUAACGUUAUCGGUGCUCCAGAAAAGGAGCAGGAGGUUGCCAUGGCAACGGUUGUGCUUAAACGACAGAGACAAAAGGUGAGAGUGGUUUUGAAUUGAUCACCUGUUCAAGUUGUUUACCUUUGCUGUGGUUCAUCACAGCAGCUGUAGUUUCUGAACGUUCAAUAAACGACAAACUUGGACUAAUUAUGUCGUUCUUUAUGACUAUACGUCAUUUACAACAAACAUCAAACACGGUAAAUAUGUUUCAUUAAGUAACAAACAAAUGGCUUCUACCGCGAUAAUUAUGUGAAAUUAAGUUGUCUAAUUUAAAAAUAAUAGUUGUAUUGCUCUCUGGCAUCUCGCUUUGAGCUCAGAGUAUGAGAGGCUUUUCCUCUAUCUAUUUUUUUUUUGCUUCUUAUUUAGUGGAAAUAUUGAUGUUGAUGAGAUUUUCUCCAAAAUAAUCUUUUUCAACCUUUAUAGCUCCACUGUUGAAAAUGAGGCUCUAACAUUCACAAAUGACAGUGAAAUAAAAUCCAGUACAACAACUGAUUUGAGUUGAGGUGAUUCCUCUGUAACCUUUUGGAGGAAAAAUAUCCCAACUUCAGAA